rnacentral:lncRNA from 1 species
ACAAGGAAGACUUCACCCGGACUCCUACGGGAGCCGGGUUCCGCCGCCAAGGAAGACUUCACCCGGACUCCUACGGGAGCCGGGUUCCUACGCCAAGGAAGACUCCACCCGGACUCCUACGGGAGCCGGGUUCCGCCUACAAGGAAGACUUCGCCCGGACUCCUACGGGAGCCGGGCUCCAUCCGCAACUUCUGCAGCAAGAGUUAAUGGUGACGAAACUCGACCGCGUAACA